AGUCAGAACCACUCAGGACACAGCAUGGACAUGAGGGUCCCCGCUCAGCUCCUGGGGCUCCUUCUGCUCUGGCUCCCAGGUGCCAGAUGUGACAUCCAGAUGACCCAGUCUCCAUCUUCCCUGUCUGCAUCUGUAGGAGACAGAGUCACCGUCACUUGCAGGGCAAGUCAGGGCAUUAGCAAUUAUUUAAGUUGGUAUCAGCAGGAACCAGGAAAAGCCCCUAAGCUCCUGAUCUAUGCUGCAUCCAGUUUGGAAAGUGGGGUCCCAUCAAGGUUCAGCGGCAGUGGAUCUGGGACAGAAUUUACUCUCACCAUCAGCAGCCUGCAGCCUGAAGAUUUUGCAACUUAUUACUGUCUACAGCAUAAUAGUCACCCUCCCACAGUGUUAUACACCCGAACAUAAACCCCCAGGGAAGCAGAUGUGUGAGGCUGGGCUGCCUCAGCUGCUCCUCUUGAUGCCUCCAUGGGCUGAGAGUGUUCCUCAGAUGAAGCCACUCUCUGAUGGUGUCGGUAGAGGGGAACAUGAAGUCACCUCUGCACCCGAAUUCUUUUCUCUUUCUCAGCCCCAACUACACAGACAUAGCAAUCCCUCUCUUGAUUUACUAAAGACAGAGAUCAUGACACCUGAGGAGUCUAGUUUAUGGCUUCAGUUGGACUUUAUAUAACAGAGAAGAAGCCACUAUAGAUAUUCUCAACCGGAAUUGUCUUAAUACGGAGAAUUAUGGUAAAAUAGUGAAGUCUAAAUAAAAUGUAGAGAUGAAUCUCUAAAUUUAAUGUUUUAUUUGCAUAGAAAUACUUCCCAAAUGGGACAUACAGGAAAAUUCAGUGGUCUUCAAUAUGUUGGAAGAACAAAGAGAAAGGUAUCAUUUUAUGAAAAAGGGAAUAUAUUACCUAUGGCUCUUUGAGAAAGUUAAUUGGCACUAGGAAGGGUUAGGAACUGGCGAACUUAGGCUGGUAAGCAGUAGUGGACAAAGUGAAUCCUAGAAUUAUAUCAAGUUAUCUCAGAAGUUGUGGAUCAAUUUGAUUUCAGGUUACAAGAAGCCAAAACAGUGAAGCUUGCAGAGAAUUUGUUACUGAAAUACCAGGGAUUCGGUAUAGAUCCUGCUGCUCACCACACAGAAAGCCAAUCACUAAGACAACAAGUAUUGCCAAGGAACAUGCUCUAAUCAGGCUCUGCAGCCGAGGAGAUGGGACACCAUUCACAAAUGUGUCUCCCUGACCAACUAAAAUUAGGAGUUUACAUAGCAGGGGAGAAAUUUGGGAAAACAGGAAUUAUGCAGGGGUAAGAAAGAGAAUUUGGUCAACAGGAAGCAGGAGGUCAGUUAGGCAAUCAUAAUGGGUGAAGGGUCUGACGUCUCACUGUCCCGAUUCAGUCAUAUGUAAAUUUCAGCUCCGUGAUAGUAUCUAGGAGGCCUGAUGCUUGGUUUACUGAAAAAAGAGUUCAGGUAAGACAGAUGUAACUAUCUUGAGUUUUAAGACUGGGGAAGUCAAUUUCCAAGUUUAUUCAAAAAACCAUAAACAUUAGUUCUGUGGGAUAAUAGGCCUAUUUCAGUUGCAUUCUAGAAACAAUAUUUUUCACCCUGAGUGUCUUUCUCCUCUGAUUUCUUGUCUUUGUUAGGUAUGACAGAAUGACCCAAUUCCUAUGAUUAAUGUUCACACCACAGCCUUUCAAAGCCAGGGAUACAGUAUUCAGGAAAGUUGACAUUAGAAACAGGAUUCUCUGGUGCUCCCUCAGAAAACAGAAUGCAUCUGCCCCUGAAGUAUGGGCUAUUUAAUGGUAUGGUCCUCAGUCCCGUCUAGAAGCUUAAGUCUGGGGUUGCUGAAGUUCUCAGCUUCCUAAAGUAUUUUUCCAGGUGUUUCUCCAGUCCUCACCUUUGUCUCUGCGCCUGUCUUAGGUACCAAUGGAUAAUAUUGAGUCUUCCUUUUCUGACUUCCAAAUCUCAUGGGAGGACCUCUUAUUGGGCAAUUCUAUAGGACCCGAGAGGUAAGGAGGGAUAUUUACAUAAGUUAAAAUGAUUUUCCCCAAAAAGGCCAUUUUAAAAAAUUGUAUUUGAAGCCACAUGUUGAAAACACAUCCAGCUUUGUUUUCUUAUCAAUGCAAACUUACAUUUGCAAAUAUUCUCAGGAUUGUAAAGCUUGAAAACAUAAUUAUUUAUCCAUGGAAUGAUCAAACACCUCUAUAAUUAAGUGAAGUAACAUUUUCUUGAAAAUUUGUACUCAGUGAAAUAAAGGAAUAUAUUUAAAAUGAGUGAAGCUAUGUUAGAAAUUAUUGGACUUAAAUUCAACUGUGUGAUUUGGUUUGGGAGGUUGAGCACUCCUGUGACCUGUCACAAGAAUCUUGUGUCAUAUUUAGUCAAUGCUGUUCAGCGUUGUCCUUAAACAAUUGAUAUCUACAGCCUGAAUACAAGCUCAGUGCCCUGCAGAGGAACCACUUAGCAGAGCACUUUCCUGAUUAGUCAGAUGAUUGUGGACAUGAGCAUCCAUGAACAUGAAAACAAAUGUUUCCUGUUAUAAGCCACUGUGUUGUGUAUUUAACCAGUUACCAAUAAUUAAUGCAUAAAUGCUUCCAGAUACAGUAUUUACACCUCUACUUUUAUAAAUAUAAGCAUUUUUUCUUAAAUUGGUAGUAUAAA